AAUUGGAGGGCAAGUCUGGUGCCAGCAGCCGCGGUAAUUCCAGCUCCAAUAGCGUAUAUUAAAGUUGUUGCAGUUAAAAAGCUCGUAGUUGAAUUUCGGGAUCAAUAUUUCGGUCAUGCCGUUGGUAUGCACUGUUAUCAUUGAUUUCUCACCUUCUAAAGAACCGUAAUGCCAUUAAUUUGGUGUUACGGGGAAUUAGGACUGUUACCUUGAAAAAAUUAGAGUGUUUAAAGCAGGCUCACGCUUGAAUACAUUAGCAUGGAAUAAUGAAAUAGGACAUCCGAUUCUAUUUUGUUGGUUUCUAGGAUCGAUGUAAUGAUUAAUAGGGAUAGUUGGGGGCAUUAGUAUUCAAUUGUCAGAGGUGAAAUUCUUGGAUUUAUUGAAGACUAACUACUGCGAAAGCAUUUGCCAAGGAUGUUUUCAUUAAUCAAGAACGAAAGUUAGGGGAUCGAAGACGAUCAGAUACCGUCGUAGUCUUAACCAUAAACUAUGCCGACUGGGGAUCGGAUGAUGUUAAUUUUUUAAUGACUCAUUCGGCGCCUUACGGGAAACCAAAGUGU
rnacentral:rRNA from 1 species